CGAACCCCCCUGGGUGGAAACCGGGGGGGAGACUGGGGGCAGGGGGGAAAGGCCAAUCCAUUCCCUGAUAGCUGGUCUCUCCGAAAAGCAUUUGGGUGCAGCGUCGGGUCAUUACGUCCCGGGGGUAGAGCUACGGGAUGCUUGCGGGCCCGUAUCGGGUACCAACAGCAACCAAACUCGGAAUACCGGUGACGCGUAUCCCGGCAGUGAGUCGGCGGGGGAUAAGCUUCGUCGUCGAAAGGGAAACAGCCCAGACCGUCGUCUAAGGUCCCGAAGCGUGUGCUAAGUGGGAAAGGAUGUGGAGUCGCAUAGACAGCCAGGAGGUUGGCUCAGAAGCAGCCACCCUUGAAAGAGUGCGUAACAGCUCACUGGUCUAGUGGUUCCGCGCCGACAAUGUAGCGGGGCUCAAGCACACCACCGAAGACGCGGCAGUAUUUUGUACUGGGUAGGAGAGCGUCCCAUGAGGGGCGAAGCGGCCGUGUGAACGCGCCGUGGACUUCAUGGGAGUGAGAAUGCAGACAUGAGUAGCGAGAGACGGGUGAAGAUCCCGUCCGCUGGAUGACCAAGGGUUCCAGGGCCACGUUCAUCGUCCCUGGGUGAGUCGGGUCCUAAGGCGAGGCCGACAGGCGUAGUCGAAUGGAUGAACGGGUCGAUAUUCCCGUACCGGCUUUCAGCCGCCAAAACCGAGGCUUGGAGUACUAACCUCCGGGUCCGGGCUUACUGCUCCUUCGGGGGCGGGAUGCCCUGGCCUGUUGGGACCGAUCCUUGUAGUAGGUCAGCGCAGGAGUGACGCAGAAGGGUAGCCGGCCCCGCCCCUGGUCUUCCGUGGUCAAGCACGCAGGGCGUGGGACAGGCAAAUCCGUCCCGCAUGGGUCCGAGGUGCGAUGAUGGGGGCCUUAUGGCCCGAUAUCCGGUGAUCCCGGCUGCCGAGAAAAGCUUCGGCGUCAGGCUCAAAGCCGCCCGUACCCCAAACCGACACUGGUGGUCAGGUAGAGAAUACCAAAGCGAUCGAGCGAAUCCUGGUCAAGGAACUCGGCAAAUCACUCCCGUUCCUUCGGUUUAAGGGAGACCCCCGAUGGUGAACACACUUGCUGUGGGAGCUUUUGGGGGUGGCACAGACCAGGGGGUAGCGACUGUUUACCAAAAACACAGGUGCAUGCGAAGGCGCAAGCCGCUGUAUAUGCACUGACGCCUGCCCGGUGCCGGAAGGUUAAGAGGAUCCGUCAGCCUUCGGGUGAAGCGGUGAAUUCAAGCCCCGGUAAACGGCGGUGGUAACUAUAACCAUCCUAAGGUAGCGAAAUUCCUUGUCGGGUAAGUUCCGACCUGCACGAAUGGCGUAACGACUUCCCCACUGUCUCGACCAGGAGCUCGGCGAAAUUGCAGUACGAGUAAAGAUGCUCGUUAAGCGCAGAAGGACGAAAAGACCCCGGGACCUUUACUAUACCUUGGUAUUGGCAUUCGGUGUGGAUUGUGUAGCAUAGGCGGGAGGCCGAGAGGCGCGGUCGCCAGAUCGCGCGGAGCCGUAAGGUGAAAUACCGCUCUGUUCGCAUUGGAUGUCUAACCUCGAACAGUCAUCCUGUUCAGGGACAGUGCCUGGCGGGUAGUUUAACUGGGGCGGUUGCCUCCCAAAGAGUAACGGAGGCGCCCAAAGGUCCGCUCAGCCCGGUUGGCAAUCGGGUGGCGAGUGCAAGUGCACAAGCGGGCUUGACUGCGAGGACGACGGUCCGAGCAGGGACGAAAGUCGGGACUAGUGAUCCGGUGCCGGUGUACGGACGCGGCAUCGCUCAACGGAUAAAAGGUACCCCGGGGAUAACAGGCUGAUCAUUCCCAAGAGUCCAUAUCGACGGGAUGGUUUGGCACCUCGAUGUCGGCUCGUCGCAUCCUGGGGCUGGAGCAGGUCCCAAGGGUUCGGCUGUUCGCCGAUUAAAGCGGCACGCGAGCUGGGUUCAGAACGUCGUGAGACAGUUUGGUCUCUAUCCUCUGCGCUCGUUGGAAUGCUGAGGAGGCCUGCCCAUAGUACGAGAGGACCUGGGUGGACGAACCUCUGGUAUGCCGGUUGUCACGCCAGUGGCACGGCCGGUUGGCUACGUUCGGAAGGGAUAACCGCUGAAAGCAUCUAAGCGGGAAGCCUGCUCCAAGAUAAGCAUUCCGUGGAACCUUCGAGUUCCUGUAGUCCCCAUGCAGAACACGUGGUCGAUAGGCCGGACGUGGAAGCCCCGCGAGGGGUGGAGCCGACCGGUACUAACGGACGAAAGGCAACACUAA
rnacentral:rRNA from 1 species